GACGAACGCUGGCGGCGUGCCUAAUACAUGCAAGUCGAGCGCAGGAAACUGACGGAACUCUUCGGAGGGAAGGCAGUGGAAUGAGCGGCGGACGGGUGAGUAACACGUAAGGAACCUGCCUCAAGGAUUGGGAUAACUCCGAGAAAUCGGAGCUAAUACCGGAUAGUUCAACGGACCGCAUGGUCCGUUGAUGAAAGGCGCUCCGGCGUAACUGUGAGAUGGGCUGGAGUUGCAUUAGCUAGUUGGUGGGGUAACGGCUCACCAAGGCGACGAUGCAUAGCCGACCUGAGAGGGUGAUCGGCCACACUGGGACUGAGACACGGCCCAGACUCCUACGGGAGGCAGCAGUAGGGAAUCUUCCACAAUGGACGAAAGUCUGAUGGAGCAACGCCGCGUGAGUGAUGAAGGUUUUCGGAUCGUAAAACUCUGUUGUAAGGGAAGAACACGUACGAGAGGAAAUGCUCGUACCUUGACGGUACCUUACGAGAAAGCCACGGCUAACUACGUGCCAGCCGCCGCCGUAA
rnacentral:rRNA from 1 species